AUUUAAUUUUAAGUAAGCUAGUAUUGAAAGUACGAGUAGUAUAUUUAAACUUAGAAUUGGUUGUGAUAAAUAAGUCGUUAAACUUUAUAUCUGUUUGGGAAAGAGUUUGUUUUUAAAUUUAUUUGGUGAUGAGAUCAAGUAAAUAAAUAUAGUUAUAUUAAGGUGUAAAUAAUAAUAGGGUUAAAAUUACCUUUAUUUUGAGUGUAUGUUACAAUUGCUUUAUUUAUUCUUUAUUUAUAACUUAUUAUCAAAAUUUCCUUAAAUUUAAUUAAGUGAAGUUAAUUAUCAUAUAAUAAGUAAUUUUAUUAGUCUCUUUGUUUUUCAUUUACAUCCCGUCUGUUUAUUAAAAACAUUUCCAUAUUAUUAAUUUUAUAUGGUAGGACCUGCUCUAUGUGUUAUAAAUGGCCGCAGUAUCUUGACUGUGCGAAGGUAGCAUAAUUAAUUGCCCUUUAAAUGGGGGCUUGUUUGAAUGGUUUGACGAGGUUGUUUUUAACAUGGGGAUUUUUAUUGAAAUUGAUGAUGUGAAUACAGAAUUUACAUUAUUUAAUUAGACGGAAAGACCCUAGGAUCUUUAUGUAAUUUGCUUGGGGCAAGUAAAAAUAGUUUAUUUGUUUUUUGACCCUCUGAGAGUUUAUAGGUUUAAGUUACCCUAGGGAUAACAGAGUGAUAGUUUAUUAGAGUUCUUAUCGAUUAAACUGUUUGCUACCUCGAUGUUGACUUGGGUUAAUGUUCUGGCGCAGUAGUUAGAAGUUUUGGUCU
rnacentral:rRNA from 1 species